CCCUUUGUUGUCUGGCUCCACCCCUGAUCGUUACCACCUGUUUCCCACCUGACCUUUGUUAGCCCUCUUGUAUUUAAGCCCUGUGUUUUCCUUAGUCUAGUGCUGGUCUUUGAGGUUUGAAUUGUUUGUAAGCCUGUUCUGAGGUGCUGUUUGGAUUUCUGUGUGCUUUGUCAUGUUUAUCCCCCCUGCUUUUCGUAUUGGCUACCUGAAACUGGACUGUCAUGGCCACGACCCUGGAUUUGCCCUCAAUAAAAGUCGCUUAUCUCAGCGUAGGCAUCCGCCUCAUUGCUCCCCAUCGUUACAACAAUGAAGCACGUGUUCAGACGACAGGAGAAUUUGUUCUGCACAUCAGUGGCUUUGCACAAGUUGUAGAGUGCAUAUAUAAAUACUAUGCAAUUCUGGAAUUCAUGUUAGUUGUAGAUAAUACUUUUCAUUCAAAUUAUGCCCACAACAUAAUAUGUAAUGAAACUUUUUCUAUUAAAUUUGAAAGGACUUUGAGACUAAUCAAUUCAUGACAGGCUGUUUUGGACCCAAAUUAUAGAAAAUAAGCAGUGAAACAUGAAAUGUUUUUUUGUUGUUGUUGGAAAGGCCAAUGCAUUUACAUAUUAUCACUUAUUUAGCCGGCAAACGGUUAGCCUAUUCAUUCAAGCUGAAGUGUUUCAGCCCACACUGCUUUCUGAAUACAAGACAGCCAAUCAGAAUAGAGAUCAUUUAUAUAGAUUAGUCUUCAAGGCACAAUAAAAGCCUGUUACAUUCUAGGUGUUAAAAAUGAUGGAAAAUAGUCAUGAAACCAUGAAUUAUGUACA